ensembl:lincRNA
CAGCUGAAAACCUGGCACAGCCUGUUCUUAAACAGACCAGCACGGGGCGGGGGCCGUGCAGCUCCAGGCUCCUUUAUCUGGAACAGCUGCCAGGGGAGAGGAGUGGGGAGUGGAAGAGGGGGAAAUAAAAGGAUGGAUGGGCAAGAGCGGAAAGUCGUCCCUUUCUUGGAGCCUUCCCACCAGUCGCUGGAAUCUUUCUGGAGGCGAGAUGAAAAUUCCUCUGCCUAAUGAGCAUGAAACUGGAAAAUACUGAACCACUGGCCUGAUUUAAACAAAUGAGGAAGGAGGAACUAGAAGAACCUGUGAGAACAGGUUCAAGUUGGUGGACUCAGCCUGGGAGACCUUCCAGACAGUUUAGUUGGGCCAAACUCAGAGUCAGCGGUUGAAAAUACAAAGUGUCUGUGAAGAAAGAGGAGACUCGCGAGAGGGAUGCAACCCAACCUCAGGCUGUGUGUUGUAACCAUGAAAGGCCUGUCUGGAAAUGUUCACGUCGCCUCUUUGAUUUAUCCAAGUGCACAUAGAUCCCUAAGGUAUCCCCAUAGCCCCCUGAGACUGUGCAGGGAUGACAAGGUGGCUGAGAAGGCCCUUUUUCAGAGGUGCAAGAUAACCUGUAAGUCUAGAGAAGAUUCAAAGACAGAAGGACUGAAAUGGACAGGUAUGCAUACAUGGGGGUGGAAAGCUGGGAAAUUGGGGAGUGAGUGGAAAGACAAAGAGCUCAAACAAGAUUUAUUUAUUUUUUAUGAAAGAGAGAGAAAGAGAAUUUUUAACAUUUAUUUUUUUGUUUUCGGCGGACACAACAUCUUUGUGUGUCUUUGUGGUGCUGAGGAUCGAACCUGGGCUGCAUGCAUGCCAGGCAAGCACGCUACCACUUGAGCCACAUCCCCAGCCCCAAAAACAGGUUUUAAACAUCAGACCGAGGAUCCCUUCUCUCAUGUACUGCCUGUCUGCCCUUCCUCCAUUGAAUACUGAACUCUGAUUCCUCCAUGUUUCCACAAUUCCAGUACUAACAACCCAAUCAUGUAGAAGUCCAACCAAGAAUCUCAUUGUUAGUAGAGUGUUCUCCUCUGAGUCUAAAGGCUCAAUCUGUAAUAAAAGCUAUUCACUCGCUGAAAUGUCUCCUUCCUCACUUCUUGUGCAUACAAUGACAUGCUGUCACACAGUAGCAUGCACAUUUUAGUGAGAGUCUCACCAGACAGCAGUUGGGAGAACAGGGUAAGCUACAGGGACCACGGAGGGAACUACAAUCCCCACAUUCCUGAGCCAUUUAUAAGGAGCCUCCUGUGUCAUCCUCUAGGAUCUUUUGCUAAGAUUCCCUGACAAAGAUUAUUCCUGAAAUACUUUUUCUGGAAUUUGGAGAACACCAACAGUCUCUCUGAAGAACCGUCAGAAUAUAAGAAAACACACACAGAGAGAGCAAUUAUCUCUUGGCAAA